rnacentral:rRNA from 1 species
AUUGAACGCUGGCGGCAUGCUUUACACAUGCAAGUCGAGCGGCAGCGCGGGGGCAACCCUGGCGGCGAGCGGCGAACGGGUGAGGAAUACAUCGGAACGUACCCCGGAGUGGGGGAUAACGCCGCGAAAGCGGCGCUAAUACCGCAUAUGCUCUGUGGAGGAAAGUGGGGGAUUCGCAAGGACCUCACGCUCUGGGCGCGGCCGAUGUCCGAUUAGCUAGUUGGUGAGGUAAUGGCUCACCAAGGCGACGAUCGGUAGCUGGUCUGAGAGGAUGAUCAGCCACACUGGGACUGAGACACGGCCCAGACUCCUACGGGAGGCAGCAGUGGGGAAUUUUGGACAAUGGGGCAACCCUGAUCCAGCCAUGCCGCGUGCGGGAAGAAGGCCUCGGUCGUAAC